AUAAAGAUAUAAUCUUAGCCUAUACAUGAGCUGUUUGUGUAAACGUAUGCGUGUCUGAGAAUGUUCGGAGAAUGGGCAGCGCACAACUAGUAAAGGCUUUUAGGGCGCACUUCUAACCAGGGCGCCUGUCAACAUAAUGCCUGUUUCAUACGACUGUCAAAACCAGCGUAGUUAAACAUCUUUGCGAUGUCUCACCAAAACACUUUCAACCGAUAUAGUUCUAUGAGUGAGUCCGUUAAUCAGAGUCAACAUACGUUAGAAAUUGUUCAUUCUUUAAUGAUUUUAUCCAAAACGUAGGCCUACGUCAAUAAAUGUAUGCAUCGGGAUAGUGCAAGGGUUUUGAAAUAAGAAAAACAUAAAAUAUACUUUUAGAAAAGA